CCCGCUGAACUUAAGCAUAUCAAUAAGCGGAGGAAAAGAAACUAACAAGGAUUCCCCUAGUAACUGCGAGUGAAGCGGGAAAAGCUCAAAUUUAAAAUCUGGCGGUCUUGCGGCCGUCCGAGUUGUAAUCUGGAGAAGCGUUUAUCCGCGUCGGACCGUGUACAAGUCUUCUGGAAGGGAGCGUCGUAGAGGGUGAGAAUCCCGUCUUUGACACGGACAACCGGUGCUUUUGUGAUGCGCUCUCGAAGAGUCGAGUUGUUUGGGAAUGCAGCUCAAAAUGGGUGGUAAAUUCCAUCUAAAGCUAAAUAUUGGCGAGAGACCGAUAGCGAACAAGUACCGUGAGGGAAAGAUGAAAAGCACUUUGGAAAGAGAGUUAAACAGUACGUGAAAUUGUUGAAAGGGAAACGUUUGAAGUCAGUCGCGUCGGCCGAGACUCAACCUUGCUUCUGCUCGGUGCACUUCUCGGUUGACGGGUCAGCAUCAAUUUUGCCCCUUGGAUAAUGGCGAGGGAAAUGUGACACCUUUGCGGGUGUGUUAUAGUCUCUAGUCGCAUGCAAGGGUCGGGAUUGAGGAACUCAGCACGCGCCUUCGGGCGUCGGGGUUCGCCCACGAUACGUGCUUAGGAUGUUGGCGUAAUGGCUUUAAACGACCCGUCUUGAAACACGG
rnacentral:rRNA from 1 species